GUGAUUAGUGUUAUAUUUGUAUGUAAUUAUAUGCUAAACAUGUUGAGCGCUCGUGUCACGGGCUGGUGGGUUGGAGCGGAGGUUGCAAUCGUGAGAGACGGGAGACACCAAGGUGGAGGAGCAUAGGGGUGAGAGAUUAGAUUGUUUCUGCUUAAUUUUAUUGAUCCAAAGGCUGGCUAUAUAAAGCCUGAUUACAAGACUAGACUCCUACUCUAAUUGGGAGUUGGCAGGGUAACCUUCUACGGGACUAAACCUUUCCAACUAACCCAGACUCCUAAUCUAACACAACUUCUAUAAUUAAACUAGGCCAUAGUUUAGGCCGUGCAGGCCCAGACUGCGUGGGGCCUGCCUUGCGCCUAUAGGGCUAACCCCACAUGACAUCUCCCCCUCCAUUCUGAUACCAAGUUGUCAUGGGCUGGUGGGUUGGAGCGGAGGUAGUAGUUGUGAGAGACGCGAGGCCGAGGGCGAAUCCCUCGCCGGCCUAUCGUUGGAGAAGGGGGUGAGGAGAGGCGUCGAGGCGCAGGAGCAUAGGGGUGAGAGAUUAGAUUGUUUCUGCUUAAUUUUAUUGAUCCAAAUGCUAUAAAGCCUGAUUACAAGACUAGACUCCUACUCCAAUUGGGAGUUGGCAGGGUAACNNNNNNNNNNGGCGCAGACCGCGUGGGGCCUGCCUUGCGCCUAUAGGGCUGACCCCACAUGACAUCUCGCCAUUGAAGCAGUCUAGGUCGUUAGAUUGACCUGGUUCGAUGGCAAAGAUUAGUUGGAUCUGCCCCUUUGAGUCUAUUGAUAUUGGUAUAGAUACAACAUUCGGCCCCAAAUCUACUACUCAAAGGAGAUUAAUUAGUUGUAGUAUGCAAUAAC
rnacentral:lncRNA from 1 species